GCAUCAGUAGUCCAACGGGUAGGAUAAUUGCCUUCCAAGCAAUAGACCCGGGUUCGACUCCCGGCUGAUGCA
rnacentral:tRNA from 1 species